rnacentral:rRNA from 1 species
UCCUACGGGUGGCAGCAGUGAGGAAUAUUGGUCAAUGGGCGCGAGCCUGAACCAGCCAAGUAGCGUGAAGGAUGACGGCCCUAUGGGUUGUAAACUUCUUUUAUAUGGGAAUAAAGUUUCACGUGUGCAAUUUUGUAUGUACCAUAUGAAUAAGGAUCGGCUAACUCCGUGCCAGCAGCCGCGGUAAUACGGAGGAUCCGAGCGUUAUCCGGAUUUAUUGGGUUUAAAGGGAGCGUAGGUGGAUUGUUAAGUCAGUUGUGAAAGUUUGCGGCUCAACCGUAAAAUUGCAGUUGAAACUGGCAGUCUUGAGUACAGUAGAGGUGGGCGGAAUUCGUGGUGUAGCGGUGAAAUGCUUAGAUAUCACGAAGAACUCCGAUUGCGAAGGCAGCUCACUGGACUGUUGACUGACAUUGAGGCUCGAAAGUGUGGGUAUCAAACAGGAUUAGAUACCCCAGUAGUC